GCAGUGGUGAUUCAGUGGUAGAAUUCUCGCCUUCCACGCGGGAGACCCAGGUUCGAUUCCCGGCCAGUGCA
rnacentral:tRNA from 1 species